GUUCCGUAGGUGAACCUGCGGAAGGAUCAUUAAUAAAUGUAAUCCCAUCAAGUACCAACCACCCACCCCAGUUUAAUGAACUUUUUUGCCACGGCGUGCCCUCCUCACGGCCCCCGGGCGCCGUUCUCUCCAUCUCCCACAGCCGUCGACACCAUCCUAAGCAACCACACAAACAAACGUCUUAUAAUCACUUACUGAACUACAUAAAAAUUAAUGAAAAGACAACUUUUAUCAAUGGAUCUAUUGACACUUGCACCGAUCAAGAACGCACACGAUCGG
rnacentral:misc_RNA from 1 species